UCUGCAAUCGAUCCAAUUGAUCAACCAAUUUAUCCUAAUUAAUCGAUUGAAUCCUCAAGCAAUGAAAUUUCCAUAACAAAAUCCACUUUAUACUUUCCGUACGAACAAAACGUCAAGAUGAGUUUGUUAAUGAUGAAUUCUUUGAAAAUAUUUUGCAAUAUAGCAUUUGAAACAAAUUCAUUCUUCAUAAAUUCCGCUUAAUCGUCGAUGUUACCAAUUUUCUGUCGUACAGUAAAUUUAACAAGCGUGAAAAACUAAGAGCAUCCAUGCGAUAGGAUUAAGUAUGAACAUACGGGAACAAAUAAAUAGGCUCGCAAAUAACAAAGAAGCAAAUAACGAACGAAACAACAACAACGUGCAACGUGCAGAGCAGGUUAGUACGGCGAAUUUUACGAUACAUGUAAUUACCAGCGAACCUUCGAUGUAAAACAACGUAAUAUGACCAUCGGAAAUAUAUCCAUGGCGUAUUAUGAAAGAAGAACGUAGAGGCAUGCGCGUUUCUUAUAGAUACAUUACGCUUCGCACCCAAGCGAUAAGAGACGAUUUCGUUGUUCAACGAACCCGAGAUCCGUCAGCGCUCAUUAGCCCUGAUUAACUAGUGGAAAAUAAUAAGCACCGGAACACUUUUUUUUGCAGUCAAAGUGAACGAUUAGAUUCUUCUACAUAUGUAAUUUGUUUCAAUUUCCGUGAAAUGCUUAGCUCUGACGAUGAUCUCGAGUAAUGCAAAAGAAAAUGAACAAAAAAGAGAGAAGAGAGAGAGAGAGAG